GGGCCUCCUAGGCGGUGGCUCUCUAGUAGUUGUGACGAUGUGAACCUGUUGCUUCGGCGGCACCCGCAAGGGUGCCCGCCGGUCUCAUCAGAAUCUCUGUUUUCGAACCCGACGAUACUUCUGAGUGUUCUUAGCGAACUGUCAAAACUUUUAACAACGGAUCUCUUGGCUCCAGCAUCGAUGAAGAACGCAGCGAAACGCGAUAUGUAAUGUGAAUUGCAGAAUUCAGUGAAUCAUCGAAUCUUUGAACGCACAUGGCGCCUUCCAGUAUCCUGGGAGGCAUGCCUGUCCGAGCGUCGUUUCAACCCUCGAGCCCCUGUGGCCCGGCGUUGGGGAUCUGCCACGGCAGGCCCCUAAAACCAGUGGCGGACCCGAGGGCCCUCUCCUUUGCGCAGUAGCAUUCGCCUCGCAUUGGGAGUCCUCGGCGUCCUGCCUCUAAACCCCCCACAAGUCCGCUUCGGCGGCACCAAGGUUGACCUCGGAUCAGGUAGGAAUACCCGCUGAACUUAAGCAUAUCAAAAGCCGGAGGAACUUAAGCAUAUCAAUAAGCGGAGGA
rnacentral:rRNA from 1 species